GAGAUCCCUCCCUGGUGGAACUAUCCCUCGUGAAUCUGGAAUCUUCUGAUUUGGAAAAGGAUGCUGAAAUGGAUCCAGAAAACCAAGACUGGAAUAGGUCAGCCUUACCUCGUGUCAAUGUGAGUGGCUGAGGCCAAGAGUAGGACAAUGCAUUUCUACAGAAAGUGUGCUUUGGGACAGCUGAAGAUCUAAUUCCAUGAAGAUAUUUCUGAGAAACUGUGUGAAAAUAUUAAGCAAAUGAAAAAUAAGCCAUGCAAAUUUAGUAGAUCAGGAAAUCUGAGAAGCAGAAUAGUUAAUUCUCAUUUCAUUGGAUUCUUUUUGAACUUCUUCCUUAAAAACUGACUUAGAUAAGAAGAAAGGGUUAAAUGAGAGGAUGGGACCAUAGGUAGAAAAGAACGCCUACUUGUGAAUAAAAUAGUUCUGACCAUUCCAUAACAUAAUUGAAGGCUGAGCUAGCUAUUACACAGCACCAACUGAUUUAAUUUGACUGAAAAACCAGAAAACUCUCUGAUCACCCAGUUGUAUAAUUGACUUAAGGAGUGUAAAUAACAUGUUUCUCUUUCCAUUUGCUUUUCCUUCUUUAUUUCUGGAAAGAAUGUUGCAAAUUAGUGGAAGCAAAGGUCUGCUACUUUGCAAUGUUUAUUUUUGACAAAUGGAGGCUCUGUUCAUGAAGAGGGCACUAUGUGACUUAAAUUUGACCAAGUCCACUUUAAUAAAACACCUAGAAUAUAA